AUUGCACAAAGAUUUUUAAAACUCAGUGUAUAACAUAAAAUAUCUGAGUUAAUUCGGAGUGCAUACAGUAAUAUGUGUUUGUCGUACUCACAUCGAUGUAUGUUGUCGACUGUGGGCAGUAGCAUUCACACAGUACUU
rnacentral:snoRNA from 1 species